CACUUCGUUCUGGCUAGUGGAAGAGGCAGGAGUGAUCGAUUUAUAAUUGUCGCGCCGUGAUGUGUUUUUGAAGAUUCGUUGAGUGUAACUUGUUUAGUCGCCAAGUUGUGCGUAAAGUUAUUAGUUUCGUGCGUGUGAAUAAAUUGUGCAGGUUGUGGCAUUCUGCGGAGCCGAACACAUCACCCACCAAGUCAACGAUCGCUUCUGACCCCACCGUCAGCUACGAGGCAUUUUCCCGGAAGUACGUCGACCGGAAGAGGGCCUGCGUACGUUCAUCGCACCCUAGGCAGAGGCUAGCAGAAACCCAGUUCAUCGUUAAAUUGCGCCAACUGUCGGUAGUUCAUCGACGCCGUCGCGUGAAGCCCACAUACCGGAGGGAAUCAUCAGCGUCACGCUCAUCGACGCGAGCCUCGAUCAACGGUGCUCAUCGAAUGAACGACCGUUUGAUUUCGAAUUCCCUCCACCCAAAAGCAUACGCCAAGAAAACCGUGAGUAAAUCAUGCAUGAUUAGAUAAGUCCAUGCGCAUGGCUCAGUUCCCGCCGCUACCGAAGAACUAAGAGUAAGUAGCGUGCCAAUACAUCUUCCACGUGACUGUCCUUAGCCCAAGCGCUUGCGCUGACAGUCGCGUCUGAGCACACACACGACCAACCGUAAUGAACACACUGCACGCAUAGCACUCAACACACGCCCCGAAUGAAGACAGAGGUUAGAUAGAGAAAGAGAGAGUAAGGGAAAGCAAACAGUAGGCCUAGGCAGAGAGGAGAAUGGAAACAUGAAGAGAAAUAUAUGUAUGUGAAAAUGAAUCUGUUCUGAACAUUUGUAGUGAUAUGUUGUUUUGUUAAUGCUGGUAGCAUAAAUGCAGGCGAACCGUUGUUCGUAAAAGUCUA